rnacentral:rRNA from 1 species
GACGAACGCUGGCGGCGUGCUUAACACAUGCAAGUCGAACGGAAAGGCCCUGCUUUUUUGGGAUGCUCGAGUGGCGAACGGGUGAUUAACACGUGAGUAACCUGCCCUUGACUUUGGGAUAACUUCAGGAAACUUGGGCUCAUACCGGAUAUGAGCUCCUGCUGCAUGGUGGGGGUUGGAUAGUUUCGGCGGUUGGGGAUGGACUCGCGGCUUAUCAGCUUGUUGGUGGGGUAGUGGCUUACCAAGGCUUUGACGGGUAGCCGGCCUGAGAGGGUGACCGGCCACAUUGGGACUGAGAUACGGCCCAGACUCCUACGGGAGGCAGCAGUGGGGAAUAUUGCACAAUGGGCGGAAGCCUGAGGCAGCAACGCCGCGUGCGGGAUGACGGCCUUCGGGUUGUAAACCGCUUUCGCCUGUGACGAAGCGUGAGUGACGGUAAUGUGUAAAGAAGCACCGGCUAACUACGUG